GACAGGCCGAGCCUGGCGAGCAAAGCUGUGUCUAAACUUAACGUUUUGUUCGUUCGGCUCGCGUUAUCU
ncrna:Branchiostoma floridae (Florida lancelet) microRNA bfl-mir-375 precursor